rnacentral:lncRNA from 1 species
CCAGAUCUGAGAGAGAAACACAGCAUAUCCAUCCAUUGUGGAAAUGGAAGGAAAACUGCCCUUGAGUCAGAGUGGGAUUGAGCAUGGAAAUGGCUGGUCAGAGUUCUUUCUGAGAUUGGGGACUGUGAGCUGAGCCAGCCAUGACUGGAGUGUGUGAGCCCUCCCUGAGUGUCAACCAGAGAAGCACGAUAGGACAAAGGGGCAGGGCUUGUCUGGUUUUCCUGUCUUUCUUUACAAAUGCAGAAUUUCAGAAAGCUAGUUUGGGAUGUACAGCACUUCUGUACCUCCGUUAUUCUUGUCAAAACUCAAGGCCAAAGACAAAUGUUACUUUGUGCAUGUCUUUCUUUUCUCUCCACUUGCUUUGUUUGUAUGCAUAUUUUCCCAUACAAAUAUUACUGUCACUUACCUUUGAUGUAGUUCUUGGGUUCCUUUUCCAUUGCAUUCUGUAACAUAUUGUUCCUUCUGCAAGCAAGGAAUCAAAUUUGUAUAGGUUGUGGCAGUCUGUGUUCACUGCCAAGAAUCAACUUCUGCCCCAUUGCCUGGACCCCUGCCUGACACGCUGUGAGGAAAGCUAAGGUGGUACCCGCCUUCUCUUACCUUCGGCUGUGAGCAAUACCAAAAUCACAACUCAUCCUUUUCUAGUCUUUCUUUGGUCAUCGUUGCCAGGAGGAGAAUUAGAGGGAAAGUAUUUGAUAAAUGUGCUCAAACCCCAGUGGGAAAUAAUUGAAAAUCAUACUGGAAUAGACGAACAGACCUGAUUCAGUGGGUGACUCAGGUGGAGCUCUGUUUGUGAAUGUGUAUAGUCCGGUCUCUUGUUCCCCAUAAGGAGGAUUAGAAGCAAGGAGAGUUGCAAAUGGUGGGAAGAUGAGAUUUUCAUUUACAAGACCUAGGUGUCCAUGCAGACUUUACCGAUUAGUCAUGUGAUAUUUUCUGAAAAUGACAAGUUGAGGUGUGUCCACAGAAAUCCAAAGCAUUGAAUGAAAAGUGUUAUGAAUUUUCCCUUUGUUCACAGAAGUCCAGUUCACCCCAUUUUGGGCCAGAGGUGGCUAGAGGGCCUCCUGGUCCAGCAGCUGAGAUGGAUAAUCAAGAUGACGAAUUCUGCACAAAUGAACCAGAGGAAGGGGCCAAGCCAUCCGUCCCUGAUCCAGAAGAGAAGUCCAGUUCACCCCAUUUUGGGCCAGAGGUGGCUAGAGGGCCUCCUGGUCCAGCAGCUGAGAUGGAUAAUCAAGAUGACGAAUUCUGCACAAAUGAACCAGAGGAAGGUACGUACCAUUGCACUGGAAAUCUAGCAUUCCUACAAGAUAUUACUGGAUGAUAAAAUAUGGGCAUGUUGCAGCACCUAAACAAAUUGCAGAAUAUACAUGGGUGGGGCUAGAGGAGCAUAAAAGUAGGAAUAUAAAAAAGGGUGAAAGGACACAACACGUGUUCAGGGGUGCGCUCCAAAUGGAAUCAUCUCCCUGAUUAGCACAAGUGAAAACAGUAACAUUCCUCCACAAUGGAGCUGGGGGAAGGCACAUAUUCCAGAAGGGCUUCCUUGUCUAAAAUGGGCCCUAAGCCCAGACAGUUGACCAGGAGAAUGAUAGGAAGGCUUCAAAUGUCAGACACAGAACAGGCACAAAAAAAAAAAAACAGGCUAUCCUGAGAACACUUUGGAUGAAGUCAUUAAUGAGUGACAUCUUCAAAACUGCUGUGCUUUGACAGAUGAUAGGGCAGGCAAAAGAAUGAAUGUGCCUCUGCCGCUUAAUUCAAAUGUAUUACCGGGAGCAUUGGUGGAGUCACAGCUUUGUAGGGAAAGCUCCCAUGGUUUUGACUGUCCUCUACUGGCAACAUCACGUGUCUGUGUGGGAACGGUGUUGGUAUUUCUAUGUUUGCAUGAUAUUCUGAGGAUUCAAAUGGACAGCUGCUUCAUAUGUUGGAUUGAAGCUGCCAUUUGCAAAGUUGAUUCUAGUGACAUCUAAGGUUUUGCAAUUAUUGUCACCUUCUGUUAGAGUAUUCUGUUGUCUAAAUGUUUGUUUUUGUUUUGUUUUGUUUUGUUUUGUUUUUUUCACACUAGGGGCCAAGCCAUCCGUCCCUGAUCCAGAAGAGGUAUGCCGCGAGACAACUGAUCUUGACCUCAAGCCACUUUUCAAUGCAUACCAAAGGGGCCAAGCAGGGUUUUGUAAACUCUUAAGCUCACUUUAAUCACUUAGUAGUAUUGGCUUUGGUGAUAUUACCACCUGGAAAGAAGGAGUAUUUCUAAACGAACUUAUACAGUUCAGGAGACAAAACUUUGAUCAACCAAUGCAAACAUUUCAUCUCUUUUUACAUCUUAGCUCCCUCAGAAUCUAUCUAGUCCUAUCAUUUCCUAUUAUUAUCCUUUGGUGCUUACUGACCAAUUUUCCCUUGCACAGAUGUCUUCAGGGUAAGUUACUGCCAAAUACAGGGCAUGAAAGGGAUAAAUAAAUUUGGGGAAAUAUCAGCGUCCUGAGGCA